rnacentral:tRNA from 1 species
GCGGGAGUGGUGCAACACGGCAGACACGCCGUCCCCAGAAGGCGGCUCUUGUGAGUUCGAAUCUCACCUCCCGCA